GCCUAGUCACACAAGACAAUGGCCCGGUGAGGGAAACCAGCCUUAAUCAAUCAGAAUGAAGAAAACAGGUGUAUCAAUCAUAUAGUAAUAAGUAACCUGUGUGAUGUCAAUCAUGUAAUACUGAGUAACCAGUCUGUAAGAAAGAGAAUAAAAGCAGCGGUCCGGGACUAUCCUGAGACGCCUCACUGCAGCUUUGUCUCGUCUCUGUUUCCCGAUACAACAUCUGGUGACCCCGACGUGAUCCAGACACAGGACCCCCGACUCAUCGGCUGGCUUAGCCUUGGUGCACCUCAGCGCAACGCGCUCCCUCAUUGCUGCAGUAUUACAACACAUCCGAACCCACAAGCCGACCCUUUUUAUCUAGAGCCCAGCGCCAUUAUAGACAGACCGAGCCCCUUCCGGCGCCGAAGGUGAUAUAUCGCAAGUUGCCAGGACCAGAGUGGAGCCUGCCUGUGCCACUCAUCACCUGGGGCCGGGGUUACGCAGCAGUGUCAACUGAAACCGGCCCUGUGUGGGUUCCCGCUCGCUUUGUGAAGCCGUGGAGAGAUGGCCUGGCAUCAGGGGCUAAAGAAUCCCAUUCCGGACUUCAGUCUAACCCUGACGGAUAGGGUGGACAAGAUUGACAAGGCCCGAAAGCGUGGCACACCUAACACUGCCAUAACUUGGGGGCAGGUCAAAGCUUUAUCACGGCAGGCUGAACAUGUAUUAGAGCAAACUAAGGCGGAUAAGACUACAGAAAACUACUUUCUUGCGCUAAUAGCCAGCUUAAAUGCUAAUUCUCUUUGCUGGGUUAUGUAUAUUUGGGUGACCGUUCUGUGUUUGCCGCAAGGUGUUGCAGCCCCUCUCCCUUCCACCAAUGUGUGGGAGACAUUUAUUCACACCUUGAAUCAGACAUCCUUUUGCCUCUCCCAGCAAGUUACGGUGGGAGACAUCUUAGGUACCUGUCUGAUUCCUGUAUGCCAUAAUCCUAAUGAUGUUGAAAAUGCUACUUGGUUUUAUUCCAGUCUGGAGCCCAAUUCCACCAUUCAUGGUUUGGGCUAUGCUGGCUAUCAUA